GUUGCGUGAAAGCAGGUUUGCAGGUUAGGAGGAUACAAUGUUUAAAUUCGCCGUCUACUACUUGUUUGAUAAAACACUUAAAGUGGAAAGUACGUCGGUCAUUCUUGGUAGCGACCAGUUCACCCAAGUGGCAUCCCAGCCGGACUUAGAUGACGAUGCGAACUGGAUUGAAAUAAAAUGGCCCACGAGAAAAGAACCAAACAGGACGGUGCCUGCUAAGGUGCUGUUAUUUGGAGAUUCCUACAAAGAACUUGUGUCGAAGAAGAAUUUAUUCCUUCUCGGUAAGGAUAUCUGGGCCAAGGAAGAAAGAAGGGGUGUGCGCAUGAAAAAGAAGAUGUGUGAGACCGACGUAGUGAAGCCUAAAACGUCCCAACAGGCAGAGCAAACCAGGAUUAAAGAGGCAGCCAGGGACCAGGUGUUACAAAACCUGAAGACUUGCCUGUCUCAGAAAAGGGCCCUGGACACACAAGAUCACCUCUACAGUUCUGAGAACGAAUCUCCACAACGUGUUCAUGGGGGAAAGCGAGCAAAGAUUAACAAGGCAGCAAGACGUGUGCUUUUACCCCUGGCAUCCAGUCCAACUUCUGAUGACGCUACAUCCAUAGGAAGUCCACAACGGCAUGACAUUUUUCAAGACCAUGCCUCAGAUGAAGAGUUGGGUUUCUCCCAAGCCCAGAGAAUGCUGACGGAUGAUAAUACUGGUCAUGGUAUGGCACCUGGAAUGAAUGAAAUCAUGUCAUGCCUUCAUGGUGGCUGUUCAGAUUGGAAUUAGAGGGGUUGACAUGUCAGAACACAGUAUGUUUAUUAAACAAUGGUGUUUCCACAUUAUUUAUUGUCCUGUACUGAGUUUAAGUACCAUUACUUUUACUAACUAACAAACCAAAUGUUUUCCCACUUAAUAUUACAUUCAUCUAGACCUGCCAGAAAUGAUUAAAUUAAUGAGGGAGUGUGUGGAGUGUGUCCGGGCAUUGAUGUCUUCUAGAGAGACCCCUUCAUUUGCAGCGUCAUCAUCUUCUGUGGACAGUGAAAUUGAAAUGCACCCCUUGGCAGGCAGCACAGUGAUUGUUUCAAAGAGGGCUUUCCUGCGGCUGAAUAGAUCUCGCAUGACCAUUUUUGCCCAGGAGCUGGCUGUCCUGGUAUUCACAAAGGAGGGCCUUGCACAGUCCACCCUAACUGGAAAGUCUCGGAAGGGGGGGCCGCCAAAAACACAGCUUGAUGUUGACAAAGUGCAGGCUAUUACAGAUGCUGUUCUUCUGGAAUUCCGACAGACCACUGUCUCUGAUGUGCGCGCGGCCAUCAGACGAAAAUGCAACAAUGAGCAGUUCAGCCAAAGAAACACACACCACGGAUAAUAUGUGGUGUGUGUUUCUGUAUGGUGGGAGGGGUUAGGCAGGAAUGUUAAGGAAUUAAGAAAUGUUGUCUUUCAUUGUUAUUUCUGUUGUGUUCUGUUAAGUUUAUGUGAAAUGUUUAUUCUGCUGAAAUGUUUAGUUCUGGUCUGCUGCCAUAAUGUAAGUGUUCAUACAUUGGUUGUAAGUUUUUUGUAUGUACUAUAUGGUACAAAUACAUAAAAAUAUAUUUUUUCACCUGGAAGUAGUCUCACAAGUCUUUCAGCCUUGAGUACCCUGGUAAUACAUUUGCAAGUAUGUGCAAGGUAAAAAGUAACAUGGC
ensembl:lncRNA